GGAGGUCUUCAGACAGAAUCUUUUCCAGGAGGCUGAGGAAUUCCUCUACAGAUUCUUGCCACAGAAAAUCAUAUACCUGAAUCAGCUCUUGCAAGAGGACUCCCUCAAUGUGGCUGACUUGACUUCCCUCCGGGCCCCACUGGACAUCCCCAUCCCAGACCCUCCACCCAAGGAUGAUGAGAUGGAAACAGAUAAGCAGGAGAAGAAAGAAGUCCAUAAGUGUGGAUUUCUCCCUGGGAAUGAGAAAGUCCUGUCCCUGCUUGCCCUGGUUAAGCCAGAAGUCUGGACUCUCAAAGAGAAAUGCAUUCUGGUAAGCCUGGGAAAUGGGGGAAGCAGAAAGAGAAGACACACAAGGUGAGGCCCUGGACUCCUCCGUAGAUACAAGUCCUUCAUACAGAGACCUAGUCCUGAAAAAGAAAACUUCCUUCUGUGCCUUGGGCUUAGAUCCCCUUUGUUCUCCUCGUUCUGUUAGACCUCUCUUAUCACAACGGUACCCCCAAAAUUAGAGACUGUGCAGUAUCCACUCUGUAACCUCAGAACCUACUGCUGUAUUGGGUUCAUAGUAGAGGUGGUAUGAUAUAGUGAGUGAAUUGUUUUAAAAGAUUGGACCCUAGAGAGAGACUGCUUAGGUUCAAAUCGUGAUUCUAUCAGUUACCUAGCUGGUAGCCUUAAGUAAGUCACUUAGACAUUCUGUGACUCAGUUUUUUCAUCUGUUAAAUGGGUACAAUAAAUACAUAUCUCUGAAGGUUGCUGUGAUGAUUACAUGAAAUAAAUACAUGGCACAGUACCUGGUAUGUAAUAAGUACCCAAUUAAAUAUAACUUUUUUUAGGAAGUGACAGUAAUAGGAAGAACUCAGUAUGUUUGUUGAAUGAUUCUUACAUGAUACCUCUUAACACAGGUGAUUACAUGGAUCCAACACCUGAUCCCCAAGAUUGAAGAUGGAAAUGAUUUUGGGGUAGCAAUCCAGGAGAAGGUGCUGGAGAGGGUGAAUGCCGUCAAGACCAAAGUGGAAGCUUUCCAGACAACCAUUUCCAAGUGAGGGCAGCUGGAGGACCAGCAUUGGGGGCAGUAGGAGCAUUUCUUUGGGACCCCCAGAGCUGGGCAGCCCUAUCAGGAUGAUGGGAGACUUUGGGAAGGGUCUGAGGGAGUACAUCUCCCUGAACACUCAUUCCUGUGGUAUUCCCUUGCUUCUG
rnacentral:lncRNA from 10 species